rnacentral:rRNA from 1 species
GACGAACGCUGGCGGCGUGCUUAACACAUGCAAGUCGAGCGGAGCGGCGAACGGGUGCGUAAGGGGUGAGUAACUGCCCCCCUCUCUGGGAUAACAGUUGGAAACGGCUGCUAAUACCGGAUCGUGGGGGAUGACUCGCGUCCUAUCAGCUUGUUGGUGGGGGAGUGGCCUACCAAGGCGACGACGGGUAGCCGGCCUGCGAGGGGGACCGGCCCCAGUGGUCUGCGAUACGGACCAAUCUCCUACGUUGGGCAGUGGGGGGGAAUAUUGCACAGUGGGGGAAACCGUGAUGCAGCAACGCCGCGGGUGUGAUGACGGCCUGCGGGUUGGAAACCGCGUUCAGCCAUGACGCGGUAGUGGCAGAAGAAGCACCGGCUAACUACGUGCCAGCAGCCGCGGUAAUUC